rnacentral:rRNA from 1 species
AUUGAACGCUGGCGGCAGGCUUAACACAUGCAAGUCGAGCGGAGUGAUGGUGCUUGCACUAUCACUUAGCGGCGGACGGGUGAGUAAUGCUUAGGAAUCUGCCUAUUAGUGGGGGACAACAUCUCGAAAGGGAUGCUAAUACCGCAUACGUCCUACGGGAGAAAGCAGGGGAGCACUUGUGACUCGGCGCUAAUAGAUGAGCCUAAGUCGGAUUAGCUAGUUGGUGGGGUAAAGGCCUACCAAGGCGACGAUCUGUAGCGGGUCUGAGAGGAUGAUCCGCCACACUGGGACUGAGACACGGCCCAGACUCCUACGGGAGGCAGCAGUGGGGAAUAUUGGACAAUGGGGGGAACCCUGACCCAGCCAUGCCGCGUGUGUGAAGAAGGCCUUAUGGUUGUAAAGCACUUUAGGCGAGGAGGAGGCUCUUUUGGUUAAUACCCAAGAUGAGUGGACGUUACUCGCAGAAUAAGCACCGGCUAACUCUGUGCCAGCCGCCGCGGUAA